ensembl:lincRNA
GCCCCAGCCUGAUGGAGGCGCCUCCGUGGGAGCCGGUGCGCAAUGACUCCCUGCCUCCCACGCUGAGCCCCGCGGUGCCGCCCUACGUGAAGCUCGGCCUCACCGCGGUCUACACCGUCUUCUACGCGCUCCUCUUCGUGUUCAUCUAUGCGCAGCUCUGGCUGGUGCUGCGCUACCGUCACAAGCGGCUCAGCUACCAGAGCGUCUUCCUCUUCCUUUGCCUCUUCUGGGCCUCGCUGCGUACCGUGCUCUUCUCCUUUUACUUCCGAGACUUCGUGGCAGCCAACUCGUUCAGCCCCUUCGUCUUCUGGCUGCUCUACUGCUUCCCCGUGUGUCUACAGUUCUUCACCCUCACGCUCAUGAACUUGUACUUCACGCAGGUGAUUUUCAAGGCCAAGUCAAAAUAUUCUCCAGAGCUACUCAAAUACCGGUUACCCCUCUACCUGGCCUCACUUUUCAUCAGCCUCGUUUUCCUGUUGGUGAAUCUGACCUGUGCUGUGCUGGUGAAGACGGGAGACUGGGACAGGAAGGUUAUCGUCUCUGUGAGAGUGGCCAUCAAUGACACACUGUUUGUGCUGUGUGCUAUCUCUCUCUCCAUCUGCCUCUACAAAAUCUCCAAGAUGUCCCUGGCCAACAUCUACUUGGAGUCAAAGGGCUCAUCAGUGUGUCAGAUCAAGAACGUCCAUUCCUUUGAUUAUGACUGGUACAAUGUAUCCGACCAGGUAGGUGGGACAUGACAAGGUGCUGCACAAUGACCAGAUCAGCGGAAUGUAGUGAGUUGCUACGACACUGGGGACCAAAUCGGUGGGGACUAGAUACAUGGGGGCUGGGCGAGGUGCUGCCUGCACAGGGACCAGAGCAGUGGAAUGUGGUCAGAUGCUGCCUCAGUGGGGACCAGGUUAGUAGCAUGCAGCGAGUGCCUGCUGUCAUGCAAUGUUAGGUGCACAAAAGCAAGCAGACAUUUUUCCUUGCCUGUGGGAGUUGACUGCCCAGUAAGGUGUAAACACAGAUAACUCCUCAAACGGGUCUCUACUGGAUUGUUCUGCAAACACUCCCUAGUGUCACCUGGAAAAACAGCAAAUACCCAAAAGUGUGUAAGUUUAGCUAUUAAAUCCCACCAGUGGUCACAACGGGAGCUGAUUUGUUAAGACAAUAAGAUUAAAAAAUAUAUAAAAAUAAAAUGACCGCAGUGAGCUAAAUCCCAAAUGGCUACAUGCACUUUAGCCCUGGAAAAGAUGAAACUAUGACUGUAACCUAACAACACUGGCCAAGCCUGUCGCACAGGUGCAGCAGGGAGAAAGCAAGGGAAGGACGCUCAGGUAAAGUGGACCGUUUGGGGAAAACCAGACAUGGGAUUUCUAGACCUUGCUUAAGCAGUGGCUGUGCGUAGAGCUGUUCUUCGUGCACGGGGGUUUCAAGAGCAGGCAGUGGCACUGGUGUGGAUGCGUUCAAACCAUCACUGCUACCCACUUGGCCUUUCUCUUUCCAAACUGAAGUUCCAUCAAGCAGCAACUUUAACAAAUUACCUCCAAUUUUCUUUCAAUCAAGAGCUUAAAAACUCUGCUUGGGGUGUGAUGCUUUUGAGAUGCUCAUUUUUUAGUGGCUUCAAGUGCCUGUGCCUUCUCAGUGAAAAGGAGAGCACACAGGGCUGAGCUGUGGUGAUGAUCUAGAAGUAGGAGACCUGAGAAUCAUCACUCUGAGGACCAGCGUCUGGUCUGGGCUUUCAGCACGAUGUGUUAGAAAAGGCUUGAAGACCAGGCUGUGGCUCAGCGCUCUCUUCCUGGUAAUGGGCUGAGAAGCUGCCAUAACUGGUUCCCCUCUAUCCUGGGAAAUUCCCUCCAUAGCCAUCUCCUUAGGCUCUGCCUUGCUCAGAGGACUUUUCCUGCCUGUGGUCAGCCCUCAUGGGUUGGAGAAUAGAGUGUGGCUAAUGUCAGGAUGACUCUGGACAGACAAGCCGCUCUCCUUUAGGAGUCAGGGCUGGGAUGUGGGCUCUGGGUUCAUUCCUGAACCACAAAAGUAAAUGAAUAGCCAGUCAUAAUCUAUCUUCCUAAAUGGGUUCCAGCGUCCUCCAAGGCCUGACUUAUCACUGCGACCAAGUUUCAAAGUGCGAGCCUUAGGGGAAGCAUUUCAGUUUUCUGCUCUCUGUCCUCCAACACAUGAAGUCUCGUGACUCUCUUCUCCUUGCUCUGGCACAGGCAGAUCUGAAGAGCCAGCUGGGUGACGCCGGCUACGUAGUGUUUGGCGUGGUGCUUUUCGUGUGGGAGCUCCUACCCACCACCUUGGUGGUUUAUUUCUUCCGAGUCAGAAAUCCCACGAAGGAUCUUGUAAGUACUCCUUCCGUGUCUGUUUGCUGGUGUCCCGAAUCCUCCUGAAACUGGUGAGGAGGAUGUGUGCCCCUCCCCUUUCCAGUGGCGCUCCUUGCAUCUCUGUGGUCAUCCAGGACUCUUAAAAGGAGAAUCUUCUUUUCCCUUAAUUUUCUCAAAGAAAUGUGUUUGGGGAUUUAGCUGUAUUUUACAAAAGAAAGAAAGUUAAGUACAUCUCAUAGCCUGGGGACAGUAUUCACUGUCCCCCAAACAUACACUGCUGCUCUCCUAGCAGAAAAUGGAGGCCUGGAGAUAGGGCAUUUGGUAGCGUGUUUGCCUAAUAUGAAUGAAGCCUUGAGUUUGAUCCUCAGUCACACAUAAAACCAGGUAUGUAAUCCUAGCACUGGGGAGAUAGAAGCAAGUGGAUCAGAGAGGUUCAGUGGUCCUUGUCUACGUAAUGAGUUCAAGGCCAGCUUGAGCGACAUGAUACCUUGUCUGAAAGUACCAGUAAAAAAAGGAAAACAGGGCUGGAGAGAUGGCUGGAGAGUGGUUAAGAGCACUGACUGCUCUUCCAAAGGUCCUGAAUUCAAGUCCCACAACCACAUGGUGGUGCACAACCAUCUGUAAUGAGAUCUGAUGCCCUCCUGUGGUGUGUCUGAAGACAGCUACAGUGUACUCAUAUAAAUAAAUCUU